UCUGACUCGAAGUAGUAGGAAAGUACACACUAAAGUUAUAUAGUACAAAACUUCGCUUUUAUGAAACGUUUUCGACGAAAUAAAAUCGUUAUACCAUGCAGAGGGAAAGGUCAGUAUUAAAUUUAGCUAUUUUUUAAACGUUUUUGAGUUGUUCUUGUUAAGUUAUUGCUGUUUUUUUAAAACACGUGUCUAUAUUCAUUGUAGUUCGUAUUCAAUUUGAUCCCAUUCAAGCGCUCAGUCGCUUUAUUUUCUCAGUGUCUCUCCCUAAUUUCCUAGCAGUAUUAAUGUUCAGAAAUACCCCAGCUUUGAUUUAUUUAAAUCACAUAUAGUUUAUCUGCAAUUUCAGGGCGAAAAUUUGAAGAAAAAGUGAACUAAUUCAAGUCGCCGACAUAGUCGAAAUGCCGAAGCAUUUGGUAAGCAUAAUGUCCAUUUAAAGGCUUUCCUCCUUGUUUGUUUCUCGUUUUCAAGCUUUCCCAAUACACCUAGAACGUCUUCUAGCAUUGCUUUGUAGCCUUAUAUGAACACUCUGAGUCAAGUUUAGUUCCAAUAUUGGUGAAACUUUCUCCACACCGAGCGAAUUGCCGACUUAUUUUAGGCAUGUUCAAUUUCACAUACAGGCGUGGCAUAUCAUUUUCGAACAUUUCAGCUUUUACAAACGUGUCGUUUAUGUACAAAUUGUUCUCUGAGAGGGAAGGCUAAGCCUUUUGAGUUUCUUGAGGUUGUCAAAGUCCUCGUGGUUCAUGCCCUAAUUUUAAGCAUAAAAUUUUAAUGCACGCAUUCUUUAAAAUUCAAAUAAACUGAAUUGGACAACUACACCCUGUGUAAAAACAUUAAAUAACUCUUCGCUGUUUUGAAACUAAAACAUUAUUGUUCAAUUUUUUAGACUGCCUCAAAGUCGAUCAUUUCGAUGGCAAACAGUACAGAAAGACCUCACUCACAGAUUUGAAGAGGCGCUCGCAGCAAAAUCAGAAAGACAAGAAGGCAAAGGACAAAUGAGACCAGCCACCAGCUCGAUUCCUUUGCGAACCCACAACAUUCAUCGCAAAGUUAGGAAGAGAUUGCCACUCAUCCAAAGACUGUAACGAAGGUAUAUAGUAACAUACUCGAACUGUCUGUUCCAGCGUAGAUUGAGAUGAAUUCAACUGCCUGAAAACAUAAAGUAAAACUUAAUACCAUAGUCUGGCAGUGACGGAACGCUCGAAAGCAGAUACAUCCACUUCACAAGAUUUCGUUCAAUCAGCCAAUUGUGAAUGAGACGCAAAGACCUGUCAAGCGAAAGUCGACGUGGAACCAUCCAGAGACCCUAACCAUGAAUAGCCAUACCAUCGUCAAAGAUGUUGUACAUUACAGAAAGAAUAUUUUUCUCGUGAUUCUCGUUGUGCGUGUUCGAAAUUACGUUGGGGGGGGCCAACCUGAGGACGCCCAAAUGCACAAAACAAAUUCAAAUGUGGCACAUUUUCCUUAAUUUCGCAAUUUAUUCAAAUUUUCUACAUUUCUUGGUAUUUGUGAAAAAGCUCUUAAAACGAAAUCAAAAUGUUUGAAAUUCGGGAGUUUCUAUCUGGGAGUUUGUUUAUUUGAAAGAUAUUUGAAAUGAAAUUUUGAAGUUUACAUCACUUUGGUAUUUGGUUUAAACGCUAGAUAAAAUCAUGCCAGAUGAAUGGUCGACCAUUCGUCGAAGUUCGGCGAUACUUCGACUCUGGCUUUCCUGACCUACAGUCGAGUUGCUCUGAUCGCCUUGUCGUGAUCAACUAGCGCAAAUGUAAGGUCUGGCCAACCUUGCGUUUGUGCUUUUUGUUUGUGGCAUGAUAUUGGAACAGCUCGCCUGUAGGCCUGGAAAGAUCAAGCCGAAGUACCACCAAACUUUGAUUUGUGGCCGGCUUUUUGUUUGUAUGACUUUAUCCAACGUUUUCCCCUUAUCAGUUUGAUGUAGACUAUAGGAUUUUGGCUUGAAUAUCUUUAAUAUAAACAUUCUUUGAGGUUUAAUCUUUCAAGAAUUUCAUGUUUUUGAUUAGUUAAUGUGUUUCUCACAGAUACUAUAAUUGUAUUAAAAAUAUUGACAAAAAAAAAUUUAAAACUGACCAAAACCGCAUUUGAGGUGUCGGAUGGGAGGGUCCAGUACGCGUCGUAGCGGAUACCAAUGGAUAAAUACGGAUUACUGCAUUGCCACUGUGUACUAUUGGAGAUAUUGUGAACUUAUAUGGAUAAUUAUGAACAUUUAUGGAUAACAUGUACCUCGCAAUCGACGGUUACCUACCAAUGUACCUUGACUACGAAAGCUGCACGACGGCAACGAGAUGACUGCCUCGAGGUUAGAGGGUUUUGAUUAUUAGUCUGGUAGUUAGCCUGCUAUCAGGCAGUAGUUAGCCUGCUAACAGGCAGUAUAUCUUUAGGAUUAUCUGCAUGUGGUCGGUAAAGUCUUUCGGUUAACCGAUUUACAAUUCCUGGCGGUCUGUCGUUAGUAGUACAUUUGCACGGAAGGUUGAUUUUUAUUCAGAUGCUUGCAUGUUAAUAAAUAUUGAGGUACAAUUUUGACCUCAGUUAAUCAGAAUUUCGACAUCAUCUGCAAUCGAAAGUCACGUGUCACGUGGUUAUUUGCAUGCACUCGGUUCGGUUAUUGGUGGGUUUCAAUAAGUGUUACGGUCCAGACGAUGGAGCAAUUUAUUUGCUUCAAAUACUUGGUGGAGCAAUGUAUUUGCUUCAAAUACAAGACUACUACAUAAAGUAAAAAAGAGUGAACAUUCUUUUUUCACUCUGGUAACUCGUAGUGAGACCCACUAGCUAUUUGUGUUCUGUUCGUGUCAAUGUUCUUCUCUUUGUGUAAAUGUACUGCUUAGGUGUCUCCGUGUCUGUGCAUGGAUAAACGCAACGCGCAGCUAGUAUCCAGAAUAUAGGCAGACGAGUAUAAGCCUUGCCAGACUUAAAAGUUUUGUUUAUAUCAAUAUGUUAUGUUCAUAAAUGUUUAGAAAUACCAUGAAAUGUGUUAGGCUUUGGCUUGGGGUUUAAUCUAACCCUAUAGCCUUAACCUUAAUCCAUUACAUGAUCUGUAUAUUUGUGUACGUAAUAUAUGAGUGUAGGCAAAAUUUUGUUAGUUUAAAAGCUGGCAUAGUUUUGCUUGGGUAGGAUAACUAAACUGGAUGAAAAUGGUAUCCAUAGCUUAGAGGGUGCAAAUGGUACCCGUAAGAAGAUUGGUGGAUAUCGUAGUGGAUCAUUUUUGGACAAGAUCUUGAAAGAUGUGGGUUCUCUCCGGGUACUCUGGUUUCCACCUACAAAAAGAUCAGAUUAGGCCUGAAAUGACCUAAUUAUUGUAAUGAUAAACAGUCUAGGCCAGUCUAGGCCGUCGUGCAUGUAUAUCGCUGGUUUCGAACGUUAGUUUUCUGCCCCGAGUUAUAUGAAAACAGUUCGCUACCAGAGAUUAGGUCCCCUCUCUGUUUUGGCGAUUCAACGAUAUCAUGGAAGACAAUUAACAUAAGGCAUGCAAACCUUACCCCUGUUUGUGGAAGCUCACCAGGUGCGAUGGCACACUAGGUUAAGUUAAGCUAGGGGCAUGACCGAGACUCCACAUUCGGAGGUUUCCCUUGCAGGUUUUUGAAAGGGUAUGUGCGCGCGCGCAUUAGUUAGGAAGGUUAGGCAGCUAGAAAUAGGGCGCAGCUUUUGCUUCGUUUCCCAUGUAUAUUAUAAAGCUAUAAUUCAUUAUCGUCAUACUUUUGCGCCAGUAACUUUCUGUAAGUAUUUAACACAACGGGAAAAUGAAAUCUGUUUUCCUGCUGAAAAAUACUUACAGGAAAUCAAAUCAAAGUGGGAAAAAAGAAAUAUUGCGAAAAAGAGAAAAACAAAACAAAAAAACCGCGAAGCCACUUUGAAUAUAAGCAACAAUAGUCCAAGAAUACUCGAUGCAGAAAAAAACAACAAAAAAGAAACCAUUUUCUGCCUAAAAUAUCUUGGAUUAGGGGCUUAACAAUAUAAGAAACGUAGUUCUCGCUCCAAAGUGGAGAAUAGGCUCGUUUCUUUAGGUUGCUAAUGCAUUGCGCGCGCUUUAUAAAUUGUACUAUAAGUUUUCAGUUGAAAAGACCGCCAGGAAAAAUAGAGUGUUUUGAUGUGUUGCUUUGUUGACGGACAAGUAUUUUAAAAUAAUGGUUUUCUUGUUUACUUGUAUUUCGACACUUUAACUUGUUCCCAAACAUAGCCGCCGUGAAAACACUCUGCAGAUCACGUUUAUAUAUGGCCGCAAUAGCUAGCAAUAUAGAAUGUUUGCCAUGUUGCAUUCCGUGUUGUCUUGCAUUGUUCAUACAUAAGCUUGGUCGAACCAUGCAUGAUAAAAACACCAUGGUCGUACGCAGCUAAUUAACAUAAGCGGCGCGCGCGUGCUGCUCAGGUAAUGCGGAGUACGGUCAGUGAGUGUACUCCAUGUGCAAAUAGUGAUGUGUGCUCUAUAUAGUAUAGACUUGAAAAUUAAUUAAGGUGCAUGUUGUUCAGAAUAGAGUGCGCAAAGUUUCAUGCUUAUUAAAAUUAAACGCGCUAAGUUGCAUGCUUAUAGUGGAAUUAAGGGCAUGAAAAUCACUGCAUGCUACGUAAUUGAAUGCGCGCGUUUUAAUUUCCUUGCGCGCAAAAAAUCAAAAUAUGAAAUGCGCACAUCACAUACUCAAAAUAUAUCCAAUUGUCCUAACACCUUUUACAAACUGUCGUAAAAUAUGUUGGGCCAUUGGAUUUAUUUGCCACGCACCUUGUUCUGAACAUAUCUGAAAUAUUUUCAGGUUUCAAGGUUAAGAUAAAUAUACCUUUAUGUGGAACAAUUUGUUAAUAAAAAGAAAUAUAUUUGUCUUGCGCAAUCGUAGACUGAAUUUUCGGUGGUUUACAACUUUUUUUGAACAUCUCGUGAAAUUUUUUUUGAUUUUGAGGUGUUUUUUUUUUUUUGCAAGAUUCUGACUUUUCUGGGUUUUGGUAGGUAUGGGUAGGUAUGGUAUAUAUGGGUUUUGGUAGGUAUGGGUAGGUAUGGUAUGUAUUAUAGUUAAUUUGGUCGCACAGGGUUACCCCGGGGUUUUCGGAAUCCGGACCCGUAAUCACCAAGGUUUUUCACCAAAUCUUCUGGUUUUCCUCAGGUGAUUACGUAUAUUUUCGUUUGGCA
rnacentral:lncRNA from 1 species